UUCCCGAACCCGGCAUCGGAUAUUGGUCGUGGGUCAAACCAUGGCUUUAUGUGCGGUAACGCAAAUGAACUCAGAGACGCUGACACGUGCCCUAGGAAGAGUUGUCUUUUCUUCAUAAGGCACAGGCUCCCUGGAAUCGGAUCAUCCGGCGAUAGGGAGAUGGUGACCGUAGAGCACCGCGGUUCUUGCGGUGUCUGGUGCGCACGUGUCGGUCCUUGAAAAUCUGAGGGAGAGUGUGAUUUUCGUGCCGGAUCGUACCCAUAUCCGCAGCAGGUCUCCAAGGUGAACAGCCUCUCGUCCACUAGAAGCAUGUAGGUAAGGGAAGUCGGCAAAAUGGAUCUGUAACUUUGGGAAAAAGAUUGGCUCUGAGGGCUGGGCCGAAUGGGCUCUAGCUUGAAGCUGCCGUGGCUUCGGUGAGGGACUGUGGCUGGGUGGUUGGUUGGUGUUUCGGCAUCGGCUAGCUUUGCCUGGCUAUGGACCAUUGCCGGGGCCUGACAGUGGAGGGUUAGAGCUGCGUCUGAUCAGGGUUAAACUUGAUUCAGGCUUCGUUCGGCGCAUAACAGCCAACUCAGAACUGGCACGGACCAGGGGAUUCCGACUGUCUAAUUAAAACAAAGCAUUGCGAUGGCUGGUGAUCGGUGUUGACGCAAUGUGAUUUCUGCCCAGUGCUCUGGAAGAUCAUGUCUUUAUCCUUGGGCUAAAAAACAAGUAUUCCGCAAAGGUAAUACACGAUUAUUGUGAAUAGCGUUUGCCAUACUUACGGUCUGGUAAAUCCGUGUACGAUAUGUUCGAAAGU
rnacentral:ncRNA from 1 species